UCUUCUCACUUUCCUUUCUCCCUCCUGUGACUCAGUCGGUCAUGGCGGCUCAGAUCCAGACUCCUCCGGUGUGGGCGGGCGCUAGUUCCCCCGGCGGCGCGGCCCUAGCAGCGGCCACCCCGGUGGGCACGGCUUGUGCGCGGCCGUCCUGACCUGUGCGCGGGCGCAGCGUGGCCCUCGACGGCGCGCUUGCAAGCGCCCUACCGGUGCGUGGGCGGGCAGCCACGAUGGCGCGCGGGCGAAGACCCUCGGCGGCGCGGCGGGCCCGGCUCUGAUCCGGUCUCGUCUGGCGGGCGCGGCCCUGCCCCGGCGGCUCCCGUGACCCUAGUGCAUGGCAACGGACAAUGGGUAUUGAUGAAGCAAAUGUCAUGGUUGAACAACCCCAAUGAUCAGCUAUGAGAAGAAAUGACACGUAUCUUUGACACACACAUAGGAGCCAGACAAAGAACAUACUAAUGAAAAGAUCGAUGAAUGAUAUUGAUAUGGCAUGAGUGUUUUGAAAUGUUUGGUAGGUUCUGUUUAUAUGGAUUUUUGUAUGUAAGAUUGCAUUGUUCUUUUGUAUGAGGCUGCAUAUGGCGAGGCGAUGUCUAGUUAGCACGGACCAGACUAUGACUGGAGGACCUCACCUAUUGAUCCUCAGGCUGUGUAUGCAAGUGGUGGAAAAGCACAUGGAAGGUACACAAUGUUUGCUUACGUCAUCGACUCGAGCCAGGUGAGGGUUCGGCGUGGAGGUUCGUCGAGGUCUGCUGCUCGUAGCUCCCGUCGCUCCACUCAAGAUCCAGCAGAAGUGGAGCAACCACGAGAAGAACUUAGGCGACAUCAGGAUUACUUGAAGCAACAAGCUACGCAACAUGAAUAUUAUGCUACACAGAUUCAACAAUAGCAAACACUCAUACAACAACUAGCACAGGCCCAAGGGAUACACGUCCCGGUGCCCCCACCACCACCACCUCUCGUUCAUUAUCCUUGGUCUUCACCUCCACCAACACCUACAUCUCCACCUACCGAACAUCAGACCCCUCCAGCUACCUUGCCAACGCAUGAACGAGAAGACGGGUUAGACUUUGUUGAAACCCUCUUCACUAGUGGAGGUAUCGACCAUCACUCGUCACUGUAACCUGAUGGUGAUCGGCGACCGUGAGCUUUCAUGUUAUUGUGUUUUGAUACUUGAGACAUUUAUUAUGACUAUGUAUGUGAUAUUGUCUCUUAUUAGUACUGGAUGAGAUGUGUCUUAUUAUGACUAUGGAUGAGACUUUUAUGAUGUAAUUGAUGAGACUAUGGAUUUAAAUAU